GCCCUCCUGCGAGCCCGCGGGGCCGAACCCCCCUCACUUCAUGGCAGCCUCAGACAAAACCUGCCCAAACCUCUGAGAAACGCGGGGUGUUUGUAAGCAAUUAGUGUUAAUUGCACUAAUUAGUGCUUCCAAAGGCCCACCCGCCCCAGAAGGAGGCUGAGGCGCGUUCCCGCGCUGCGCUGGGCUGCAUGGCGGCGGCGCUCCCCUCAGAAGGGGCCGGCUCCAAAAGGGACUUUGCCGCUUCGCGCUGACGGGGAGCCGAAGGGGCUCACCCCGAACCGGCCCCGCACCCUGCCCCGAGCCGCGGGGGCCACCGGCAGACCCGGGCCUGGCCUCAGCCCCCCGGCCCGGUUAAGGAGGCCGGGACGCGGGUUAAGAAGGACGGGACGUGCCGGUGCUGGGGCCACGUUGGAAGGAACAGCUCUUCCUGAGGCAGCUGCCAGCAGAUGUCGGUAGAAUAGUGCCAACAGGGAGCGGAGCUCCCCGCGGAGCUGCUCGGGCGGGAGAGGAGCAGCCCCGGCUGGGAGAGGACCGGCCUCGGGGCGCUCCCUUCGCUGGGGCCAAUUUUCCCUCUCUGCAAACGAAGCUUCUCUAAAGCACAAAGGGCCGGAGUCUGUUCUCGUCACCGCUGUCCCCCCGAGGCGGUGCGAGCUGUGCAAGAGGACAGGACCGAGCAGGGCGACACGGUGCCAGCAUCACCCUGCGGCCCCUUUCAGUCUGGUGAUCCAUGGAGAAAGGAGAGCUGCAGAUCAGACAGCCCCAGGCAGGAAGCUCUUGGAAGGGAGGACGCACUGGAACACACAAGACAUCUAAUGGCUCAGCAAUGCACUGCAAGUAAACGCCUAAUUACCAGGUCUAAGAGGGGAAGGAAUAAAAACCAACCGGGAUGAAGCCAUCAGUCGGCAUAGCUUUGAUUUCUUGUAUGGAGUCUUGCAUGAAACAUCCUGGGAGCUCCCACCUCACACAUAUGCUGCUGCUUCUCAGGGGUACCAACAAAAGCCCAGAGCUGGGAGCAGGCAGGAGCACACAGAGGUGGACUGCAUCGGGUGGGAUGUGAAGGCCAUUUGGGUGCAGAGACAUGACUACACAUAAGAACCUCACUCCAGUGUGUGAGUCCCAUCACCUGGCUGCUAAUGCCCAUGGGAUACGAGGAGCCUGGCUUCUAACCCAGAGGAAACUCUGCUGAAGGCAGGAAUCAACUGAGAUCUUUUCUCUGGAGGAAUCCCCGGGGUACCAGCAGGAUGCAUUUACUGAGCAUUUCUCCAGUGAGCUGUGAUGGGAAGAGCAUGGAGCAACAAAGAAGGUAAAGUGCUUGAAAACAACUUGUAUUUUUAGACCCCAGUCUCCCAUAGAGAGCUUUGGAGAUGCUUCUUAUUUGCAAGCAGAAAUAAUGUUUGAGAAGAGACUGAGACUCCCGGGUUUUUUAAAUUGUCCAUAAUACGUUUCUUUAGACCUAUUUGCCAUCCUGACAAUUAAUCUACCUCAUGGCUGGAGGGUUUUUUAUCCCUCAGAAGCAGUUUUUGUUAACACAAGCAGAGACAACAUGAAGCAACAAUCUCUCGAAGGAUGCAGCCUGACAGCAAUAUUGCCAUUGGACUGAAAACAACUCAGAUAUAGGCAUAAUCCUCAGAAAAUUCAUCUCCAGCCUCCCAACAGAGCCUGGUGAGAGCCCUUGAAGUGGUAAUUAAAGUCUAUUGAGUGGCAACUGCACCUGUUUAGAGAGGAGAGUGCAGGGAAGAGGUGCACAAAGGGAGAUGAGCAGCACGGAGAGGGAGGCGGGGAAGGAGAGAAGUGGAAAGAAGAGAGCAGAAAUAGUGUUUGUUGGAGAAGUCAAGCCAAUAAGAUGCGUGGUUCCUGUUCUUCCCUUUCCUUGCUUUCUGCACCCCUUCACACACGCAGCCGGCUCCUACCCCACUCUCACACCCACUGAUGGAAACGCCAGGGGGUUUCCCCCAGCCAGCUCUUCUGGUGUAAAUCAACAGAGUUCCACUCAAGUCCUUGUGGACUUCGAAUCAUUUACGCCAGCUGAAGAUCUGGCCCAGUGACACUCAUUAACAGCCACUGGGCUCCUCAGACGGGCAGCCGGGACAUGCCAGUUCUUGUCUUUUUUCCCCUAGAAGAAAGCACAUCCCUUUGUGUUGGCUUUGUCACCCCAGUGCGAAUCCCACGGCACCUGGGAGGAGGAAAUCAACGUGUCUGAGAGCAGAGCUCAGGCAGAAACCAAGGGCAAUGGGAGGAAGUAGAGAGGUGCAAUGCCGUGGUACCAGCAAGGCUGCUGGUUUUGUAUCCAUGGCUCCCCUGGAUGUCCUGAGCCAGCAUCUCCUCAAACACCCCCAGGAUCUAUGGGUGAAGCCAUCAAAGUGGCCUUAUUCAUAAAUAAUCACAGAAUCAUGGAAUAGUUUGGGUUGGAAAGGACAUUAAAGCUCACCCCCUGCCACGAGCAGGGACACCUUCCACUAGACCAGGUUGCUCCAAGCCCCAUCCAGCCUGGACUUGAACACUGCCAGGGUUGGGGCUUCAGUAGACCAGUGCUGACUUUGUGCUGCCAGAGAAUUGCACAUUGCUUUGCUGAUGGCACAAACCAGCAGAUGAAGUGGUAACACCAUGCAGAAAGAAGGACACACAAAGUGGUAGAGGGAAAUCCUCCAGUGUCUGAGCAGGAGAGUAACAGAAAGAGGACAUUCUUUGGUAUAGAAACCUGGCCUGCCCUAGCAACCCGAGAGCCAGGCACCAGCCCUGCAUGGAGGUCUGGAUGUAUGAGCCAGGGAAAUUGUCAGCCUGAGACCCAUGGGCUGAUAGCAGAAAUCCUGGCUUCUGCUGCCAUAAUCCCAACUUCACCUCUGAUGCCAGUAAACAGGGUUUGCUGCUGUUUGCCCUACUGAGCAUCUCAGAUGAGGCUAUAAAAACUUAGUCAAAGACCCUAACGAUAGCUUUUUCUUUGUAGAAGUAAAUAACCAUCCCUUACACUCUCCAUGUGCACCCGCACUACUGAAGCCUACUCACUGAAUUCCCUUUAUCCAGCCUAAACCCAGCUUUGUCUUCUGUGGUACUACGCACUUGCAAAGGCACUACAGCGAUAGAAGCAAUCCCUUGUCACUGCAAUUCUGUAUGUGCCCCAGCAACCAACUGGGCUAAACUAGGACUCCUGGGGUGAGAAGAGAAGAGGGAAGAGGUUCAUCCUGAGAGCACCCUGAGGCUGAGCCGAGCAAAUGAUUCAGGCAGAAUAAUUUAACUGGUGUUUGCAGAUUGUUCUCCCUGUGAAUCCCUGACCUCCAGACUCUGCAGGCUGCCUGGGGUGGGUGAUGUGAACCCUGUUCCCCGAUUGUCAGAGCCCACAACAGCUCUGGUGUAAAUGUUGUUGCAUCUGCUUUCUACAAAUACUAUUAGCAAUGCCUCUCUAGCAUGUCCCGAGAGCUGUGCCAGGAAAUGCCUCCUUGUGAAUGAAGAUAGAAAGGAACAUGCAUUCAGCAAAAGCCAAUUCCUUUGGCUGGUCCGGGUGGGAUUUGCAAUUAGUUUGGUAUCUGAUCCAACCAUUUAGCUCCAGUUAACAGAGGCAGACAGAUAGCCCUGGACAACAAGUCAACCUCCCAGUCAACUCCUGUCUUAGGGUGAGAUGGAUUUUUGCACUGACUGCAAAGGGAGCUUACAUGACUCUAACACUGAGAGCAUAAGUAUUAAUAGGCUGAAGUUACAGGAGAAGAAUCAUACCUAAAAUACCUCCUAAAUUCUAGCCUUGUGCAUUAGAAAAAUCAUUGGGUAGAUGGAUACCAUAAUGCCUCACUUCUAUCGUUUUGCUCCCCAAACACUCCUCUCUCAUUUUCCCCUCUCAGCCCUCCUGUUCCUCUGCCUUUUUCUCUUCCCACCUUCCCCCUGAUUGCCGAGCAGCUUUUUGACUUUGCCAUCAAUAAGUCUAAAGAGCAUUUGAACCACUCUGCUCCCCCCUUCUCUCCUCCCUCCACUUCCAAGUCGGGCAAGCUCAUCGAUCAGAGGAGCUCAGGAAAUAUCUGGUGUUUUGUUGUCAGGAUGAUAAUAACAUUGCAGUUGUGAAUGGGCUGCUGCAGGCCUGAUCAUGGACACCUGCAGGGUUUGUUUAAUUGCAUUUAAUGACAAAUCCCAUACAGAGGAGCAUUGCCAGAGAGAUUUAUUAUCCGCCAAAGAGGCAAAGCACAACAGCUCAAAAUAUAAUUUGCACUGA